UCCUACACAGAGACAUUAAUGUGUCGUUUCUUUUGGUAGGUCAAGGUGAUUUUGAUUUAUCUGAUGCUCUUGAUCAUCCAGGGGAAACAAUUACUAAGAAGCCUCCAACGGCUACUAAAAGGCCAGUGUUUGAUGAUCAUCCAAAACUUCACCCACGUCCUCCUCACGAGCUGCAGCCGGGAAGCUAUGGCAAUGAUGG